AACGAACGCUGGCGGCAUGCCUAACACAUGCAAGUCGAACGAGACCUUCUGGUCUAGUGGCGCACGGGUGCGUAACGCGUGGGAACCUGCCCUUAGGUUCGGAAUAACUCCCCGAAAGGGGUGCUAAUACCGGAUAAUGUCUUCGGACCAAAGAUUUAUCGCCUUUGGAUGGGCCCGCGUUGGAUUAGCUAGUUGGUAGGGUAAAAGCCUACCAAGGCGACGAUCCAUAGCUGGUCUGAGAGGAUGAUCAGCCACACUGGGACUGAGACACGGCCCAGACUCCUACGGGAGGCAGCAGUGGGGAAUAGUGGACAAGGGGCGAAAGGCUGAUCCAGCAAUGCCGCGUGAGUGAUGAAGGCCUUAGGGUUGUAAAGCUCUUUUAGCCGGGAUGAUAAUGACAGUACCGGGAGAAUAAGCUCCGGCUAACUCCGUG
rnacentral:rRNA from 1 species